AAUGUCAAAAGACCAAAAAGCAAAAAACAUUUCCCUUUCUUGGUUUAAAAAUCUGAUUUUUGGUUAAGUUUCAAAGACUCUUGUCUUAGAGAAAAACGUGAAAGCAGAAUCAAAAUUCUUCCCAAGAUUUCAAAUCCAAAACAAGUUCGUUCCAAUUUUGAGGCUAUCCAAGUAUAAGUUUCAUCCAUAUUUCGCAGAAGCAGAAUCGUUCAAAUUAUUCGAAAAACAGGUAUGUUAAGGCUAUCCCUUCUUUUUUUUGGCAUAAUCCUUACGAUACGAACGAAACGUGUAAAUGCACAAAUUCCAUAAAUGAGUCUAUUCAUAGAAGUAUUAGAGAUAUCUAUGCUCCUAAAUUUCCAUGUGUCGUAAUAUUUUAUCAUCUAAUCAUGGGUCUCAGAAAAAUAUGAAAGUUGAGAAAAAAAGGUUUACUUUAUGAUAUUGCUCAAGACAAAAUGGUCUUAUGAAAUUCCGAAAGAUUUUAUUAACGUACUUUUCUUGCAUUGCAUUCAUGUGCAUCAACCCAUGACCAUAUGGCAUUAUAUAUGCGUAUAUAUGUAAAUAUAUGUAUAUGUGAUAUGGGAAAAGGUUACGGUGUUAUAUACACACCACCACCUGAUCAGCUGGUAUAUGAUGAUGAUGUUGCCCACAGUGGCUGAAAUAUGAUUCAAAUGGUGUUAUAUAUGCAUAUAUAUAUGUAUGUAUAUAUGGGAUAUGGGAAAGGUUAUGGCGUUAUAUACGCACCACCACUUGAUCAACUGGUAUGCGAUGAUGAUUUUGCCAACAGUGGCCGAUGUGAUAUGAUGGGAUGCCCUCAGAGGCUGAUGAUGUUAUAAAAUACGUACCUAUGCACGACAUGGCAUUCACAUACAUAUGCAUGAUGCUAAAAGUAAUUUAUGAUUUACAAAGUUAUUCAGACCUACAGGUUGAGUCAUGUACUCUAUAUUUUUUCCAUGUCUCUUAUGCAUUUAUUUAUAUGCCUUACAUACUCGGUACAUUAUUCGUACUGACGUCCCUUUUGCUUGGGGACACUGCGUUGCAUGCCCGAAGGUCCCGAUAGACAGGUCGAGAGCCCUCCAAGAGGCUAUCAGCUCAGCGGAAGAUGUUGGUGCGCUCCAUUUGCUUCAGAGUUGCUCGUUUGGUUAGUAUGAUUUAGACGUGUAUUGUUUGGUAAGGCAGGACUCUGUCUCGAUCUUUAUGACAUUUAUGUACUCUUAGAGGCUUGUAGACAUAUGUCGUGUAUAUAAAAGAUUGUGCGGCCUGGUCGGCCUAUGUUUUGGGUUUAUAAAGGAUCAUCUUGGCCUAUUAGGCUCGUAUAUCAUGUGUAUAUAAUGAUGUAAUAAGAAAUAUACAUUACGUUAGUAAUCGGCUGAGUAAGGUAUCUGGUGCCUGUCGUAGCCCAUCGGUUUGGGUCGUGACAAAAGU
rnacentral:lncRNA from 1 species